UUUCCUUUGCCUUGCACAAUCCUACAGGAG
rnacentral:piRNA from 1 species